rnacentral:lncRNA from 1 species
GGGGAAAGGGCUUUCCUUUGUUGUGUCACAGAAGAGCUCCCAGCAGAGCGCAGCUUUCGCGUCUCUCCUGCAUAUCUCGGCCCUCUGCUUCCAGCAGGCAGGCUCUCCCGGACUCAGGUGGGAUGGGGGACAGGCGGUGGGUGAGGGGCAAGCACAGCCCCACAUGCCCUGGAGUCACUGUUUCCCCCUGACUUAAACACCCUCCUACAGAGUUUGACCGGCCCUGCCAGAUCUGCUCACUCAGUGCUUUUUUUUUUUCAUUCUCAGGGACUCCAUGGUCCUCCACAGCCUGGCUGUCGUCAGGGUCUCCGCUCUUUAGGGAAAGACAGCCAUUAACUGAAGGAAAGCAGACUCAGGAGGCAUAAGGAUGAAGAACCCUAACCUCAGAGGCUUGUGGGGGCUCCCACGGGUGCCAAGAUCCAAAAGUCAACCUCAGAGUCAAGAGCAUUGCUGGCUGGAGACAAGAGAUGGCGCUGUGAGCCCAACGGAAAGAGAAGGCGUGAUUAUUAUAUGUCAGCUAGGUUAGCCCGAUUUAUCUGCAGGAGAGGUUUCACGACCAGCAGCUACAACCAUGGUGACCACUGAAACACACUGUUACAUUCUCUUGGGCUUGGACUAUUUGGAGAACCAACGAUUAUUUUAGCAAGGGAAAAUGGAGCACCAUCUUCCUUCUGGAGAAUCUUUGAUGGGUAGGUAGAGCAGGGGAAAAUGACAAUAGUUAACUUUUAUUGAACAUGUAUUCUCUUCCAGGCACCAUUGUUAGUACUUUACCUGCAUUAUUUCAUUUAUUUCUCAUAACUCUG